rnacentral:rRNA from 1 species
AUUGAACGCUGGCGGCAUGCCUUACACAUGCAAGUCGAACGGCAGCAGGGGUGCUUGCACCUGGUGGCGAGUGGCGAACGGGUGAGUAAUACAUCGGAACGUACCUUAUCGUGGGGGAUAACGCAGCGAAAGCUGUGCUAAUACCGCAUACGCCCUGAGGGGGAAAGCGGGGGAUCGAAAGACCUCGCGCGAUUAGAGCGGCCGAUGCCUGAUUAGCUUGUUGGUGGGGUAAAAGCCCACCAAGGCGACGAUCAGUAGCUGGUCUGAGAGGACGAUCAGCCACACUGGGACUGAGACACGGCCCAGACUCCUACGGGAGGCAGCAGUGGGGAAUUAUGGACAAUGGGGGCAACCCUGAUCCAGCAAUGCCGCGUGAGUGAAGAAGGCCUUCGGGUUGUAAAGCUCUUUUGUCAGGGAAGAAACACCGGCUCUAACACAGUCCGGGAAUGACGGUACCUGAAGAAUAAGCACCGGCUAGCUACGUGCCAGCCGCCGCCGUAA